UACGUAGGGGGCAAGCGUUGUCCGGAUUUAUUGGGCGUAAAGAGCGUGUAGGCGGUUUGGUAGGUCCGCUGUGAAAACUCGAGGCUCAACCUCGAGACGCCGGUGGAAACCAUCAGACUAGAGUCCGGAAGAGGAGAGUGGAAUUCCUGGUGUAGCGGUGAAAUGCGCAGAUAUCAGGAAGAACACCCGUGGCUAAGGCGGCUCUCUAGUACGGUACUGACGCUGAGACGCGAAAGCGUGGGGAGCGA
rnacentral:rRNA from 1 species